CAUUUAUACUGAAAGCUAAAUGUGCAAGAACUGCAAAAACAUUCUUCAAAAGAGUAUUGAUGAGGAAUAAUUUAUUCUAACAGCAGGUGGAUGUCUCAAGCCAACUCCAGGGGUUUUUGUACAACUUCCUCCAACAGUCCUCUCACUGUGAGGUCUUUCAGUGCACAGAAAUACAUCGCUGAGUCCUCCAGUUGUGAAGCUGAGAUGGUAAGAUCACAGAGGAAGCAUGUUCCCACUGGGCCAUCCCUACCUAGCCACAUUGAAGCUGUG
rnacentral:lncRNA from 1 species